GCCACGUAAUGCCACGUCCCCGCGCAUGCGCAUUUCGACAAGUGGUGGAGGCUGUUUCCGGGCUUAGGGGGCUGGAGCUGCAGCCGAGUAAGAGGCGGUGGUGGCGGCGGCCGGAGAGCGCUGAGUGCGGGCUUGGGGGCCAGGCCCUGCGGAGGACAGGGGAAGUUAUCUUUUCUUUCCCGACGGGGCCGGUGGAGCCGGUGGCUGAGCGGCAAGAUGAAUUUCCUCCGCGGGGUUAUGGGGGGUCAGAGUGCCGGACCCCAGCACACAGAAGCCGAGACGAUUCAAAAGCUUUGUGAUAGAGUAGCUUCAUCUACUUUACUGGAUGAUCGAAGAAAUGCUGUGCGUGCUCUCAAAUCAUUAUCUAAGAAAUAUCGCUUGGAAGUGGGUAUUCAAGCUAUGGAACAUCUUAUCCAUGUUUUACAAACAGAUCGUUCGGAUUCUGAAAUAAUAGGUUAUGCUUUGGACACACUAUAUAAUAUAAUAUCUAAUGAUGAAGAAGAAGAAGUAGAAGAGAACUCCACAAGACAGAGUGAGGAUUUGGGAAGCCAGUUUACAGAAAUUUUCAUUAAGCAGCAAGAAAAUGUCACUCUUCUGUUAUCUUUAUUAGAGGAGUUUGAUUUCCACGUCCGCUGGCCUGGUGUGAAGCUUCUUACUUCUCUUUUAAAACAACUAGGGCCUCAAGUGCAGCAAAUUAUUUUAGUCAGUCCUAUGGGUGUUUCAAGGUUGAUGGACUUGUUAGCAGAUUCCAGGGAAGUUAUACGUAAUGAUGGCGUCUUACUACUACAGGCACUAACAAGAAGCAAUGGAGCAAUCCAGAAAAUUGUUGCUUUUGAAAAUGCUUUUGAGAGACUACUGGACAUUAUUACCGAGGAGGGGAACAGUGAUGGAGGUAUAGUAGUGGAAGAUUGUCUGAUUUUGCUUCAAAACCUGUUAAAAAACAACAAUUCCAAUCAAAAUUUUUUUAAAGAAGGCUCAUAUAUUCAGCGUAUGAAACCUUGGUUUGAAGUUGGAGAUGAAAAUUCAGGCUGGUCCGCACAGAAAGUGACUAAUCUGCACCUAAUGCUACAGCUUGUUCGUGUACUGGUUUCUCCAAACAACCCUCCCGGUGCUACCAGUAGCUGCCAAAAAGCUAUGUUCCAGUGUGGCUUACUGCAGCAGCUUUGCACUAUCCUAAUGGCCACUGGAGUUCCUGCUGAUAUCCUGACUGAGACCAUUAAUACUGUAUCAGAAGUUAUUCGAGGCUGCCAAGUAAACCAAGACUACUUUGCUUCUGUAAAUGCACCUUCAAACCCACCAAGACCAGCCAUUGUAGUACUUCUUAUGUCCAUGGUUAACGAAAGGCAGCCAUUUGUAUUGCGCUGUGCUGUUCUCUACUGUUUCCAGUGUUUCUUAUAUAAAAAUCAGAAAGGACAAGGAGAAAUUGUGUCAACACUUCUACCUUCCACUAUUGAUGCAACAGGUAAUUCAGUCUCAGCUGGUCAGUUGUUAUGCGGAGGUUUAUUUUCUACUGAUUCACUUUCAAACUGGUGUGCUGCUGUGGCCCUUGCCCAUGCUUUGCAAGAAAAUGCUACCCAGAAAGAACAAUUGCUCAGGGUUCAACUUGCUACAAGUAUUGGCAACCCUCCAGUUUCUUUAUUGCAACAGUGCACCAACAUCCUUUCACAGGGUGAUAAGAUCGACCGACGGGGAAGCAAAAUACAGACAAGAGUUGGAUUACUAAUGUUGCUUUGUACCUGGCUUAGCAACUGCCCCAUUGCAGUAACACAUUUUCUUCACAAUUCAGCCAAUGUUCCCUUUCUUACAGGACAAAUUGCAGAAAAUCUUGGAGAGGAAGAACAGUUGGUCCAAGGCUUAUGUGCUCUUCUGUUGGGCAUUUCGAUUUACUUCAAUGAUAACUCACUUGAGAGCUAUAUGAAAGAGAAACUAAAACAACUGAUAGAGAAGAGGAUUGGCAAAGAGAAUUUCAUAGAGAAACUAGGAUUUAUUAGCAAACAUGAGUUGUAUUCCAGAGCAUCUCAGAAACCCCAGCCAAACUUCCCCAGUCCAGAAUACAUGAUAUUUGAUCAUGAGUUUACAAAGCUGGUAAAAGAACUUGAAGGUGUGAUAACUAAGGCUAUUUAUAAGUCCAGUGAAGAAGAUAAAAAAGAAGAAGAGGUGAAGAAAACACUAGAGCAGCAUGACAGUAUUGUGACUCACUACAAAAAUAUGAUUCGAGAGCAAGAUCUGCAACUUGAGGAAUUGAAGCAGCAGAUUUCUACGUUAAAAUGUCAAAACGAACAGCUCCAGACAGCAGUCACACAGCAAGUAUCUCAGAUUCAGCAACACAAGGAUCAGUAUAAUCUUCUUAAAGUACAGCUAGGAAAAGACAAUCAGCAUCAAGGUUCUUACAGUGAUGGGGCUCAGAUGAAUGGUAUUCAGCCAGAAGAAGUUGGUAGGUUGCGAGAAGAGAUAGAAGAAUUAAAAAGUAAUCAGGAACUUUUACAAAGCCAACUGGCUGAAAAGGACUCUUUCAUUGAAAAUUUGAAAUCGUCCCAACCAUCACCUGGCACAAAUGAACAGUCUUCAGCAACAGCUUCAGCAAGAGAUUCUGAACAAAUUGCAGAAUUAAAACAGGAACUGGCAACAUUAAAGUCUCAGUUAAACUCACAGUCUUCGGAGAUCACCAAACUACAGACAGAAAAGCAAGAGCUGUUACAGAAAACAGAAGCAUUUGCAAAAUCAGUUCCUGUACCAGGAGAGAGUGAAACUGUAAUAGCUACAAAAACUACUGAUGUAGAAGGAAGACUGUCAGCAUUAUUACAAGAAACUAAAGAAUUAAAGAAUGAAAUUAAAGCUCUGUCUGAGGAAAGAACUGCUAUUAAAGAGCAUCUGGAUUCAUCUAACAGUACCAUUGCCAUUUUACAAAAUGAGAAGAACAAGCUUGAGGUGGACAUUGCAGACUCUAAGAAAGAACAAGAUGAUCUCUUGGUGCUGUUGGCUGAUCAGGAUCAGAAAAUAUUUUCAUUAAAGAAUAAACUCAAGGAACUUGGUCAUCCAGUUGAAGAAGAGGAUGAACUUGAAUCCGGAGACCAAGAUGAUGAGGAUGAUGAAGAUGAAGAUGACGGCAAGGAACAGGGUCAUAUCUAGCUUUACAAUCUCUAGGAAUGAUAGGGGUUACAUUGUAACUUUGAAGACGGAGUCUUAAGACAGUGCUUUGGUUUGCCUCCACAGAAAGUAAAGAUUUAGAAACCAAGUGGCAGACAUUCACUAAUACAACUAUUGAUGUAUUUUUAAAAUGAAGCCGCCACCCAUGUUGAUAAUCCUGUUAUCCUAACUUUAUGUAGAACACACAUCUUUUAUCGAACUGAACUAUCCCAAAAUAUAAUUUGCAAAGAGCUUCAGACACCAAAAAUAUAAUAUUUUCAGGCAUGUGGUGGCAAUGCUCUUUGCCUUUUAGUUCAUUGGUUGUUUAUAUAAGUUCUGUAUUUGUCUGCUAUUUUUACUUUUCAGAAUUUGUGACUUUAAAUACUAACACGAUUGAUUUAAUGUGUGUUGGAAUCAUUGUUUCUAAAUUCAGUAUUGGAGUUCUUAGCUAAUGAUUUCCUUUUAAAGGAAUGGAUUUACUUAAAGGCAAGAUAGCAUUAUUCUGGGGGAUAAUAUAUCAUCAGCCCUCCAUCCAAUGUGACCCCUAAGAUGAGUAGGAUAGGACAGUUUAGAAUGAGUGCCUUGACACUUGAUAUGGCUGCAUUCUGUACCUCAGUGAAGAAGAAGGAUAUUAGCACACAGUGAAGAGGAUGGUGUUUCUGAGAAACUUCUGCAACAGUGUAUCAGCAUGUGUUUGGUUUUGGUUUUAUUUUUAAGCUAAACAUUAAAACAAAUUACAAGUUAACAGCUCAUACAGCUCAGAAUUAGUAUUACUGUUUGAUUAUUAUAAAACAUAUUAUGUUCCUAGUUUUAAAAAGAUCCAAACUAUGGUUUAUAUAAUUUAUUGGCAUUUUUGCUGAAUAGGUUUAAGUCAGAUAAUAGAUUUUUAAAAAGCAAUGAAGCAAUGUGUCAAAAUUUAAUGUUUUCGUAAUAAAAAUAGAUAUUAUGUUCACUUAAUCCCUGGUCAUGGUUCCCUUUUUUAGAUUUUGAGAGUAGUAGUCUUGGUACAAGAUGAGGCAGAAGGAAGGGUGAGAGGAGUCCUUCUCUUACUAAAAGGACUUUGCUAUAACUGCGUGAUAACAGCAAUCUUAUCAUUUAAAGCUAAUAAUAAGGAUUCCAUAAGAUUGGAGAGGGCUAAUUGGAGCAAAAGCAGAAGUUGGAGAAGGGUUUGGAUGUUUCUAAAUUGAGCAUUGGAGUUCUUUCUUCACAAUGAUUUCUAUUUAAAGAAGUAGGCUUUCUUAAAGGCAAGACAGCAAGAGUUGGGGCAUUAUGUAUAUCAUCUGCCUCCUGGCUUCAGGAAUAAUUUGAGCAGUCUACUAAGGGGCACAGAUUUUGAAAGAAGUAUCUUCACAUGUCUUGAAAGGGGAGAUGGCUGUGUGUUACAGAGCACCCGUGAAUACUGCACCGCGCCCCUGCCUAAUCCCACCGCUGCCACGCCAUCCUGAGAUGGCAUCUGCCGUCAGAGAACCACAUGAUUAUUACUGGACCAGCUCAGACCGUGUGAAGUUUUCCUAAACUUGACACCACGUAGUGAACAUUUCAGGCUAAUGUUACAAGGAUAAGGAAAAAUGUGUCAGGAGUAAGAAUAAUACUUCCAGAAAUAAUGGAAUACCAAAGAUCUUCAGAAAGAAACAUCUGCAAAAUCAGUGAUAGUUUGCCAAAGUUCAGUCACUCAGGCUGGCUUGGAGUAGAGAAGACACAAGAAGGCCUCGAAGCUGCGCAGUCCAGCCUGGAGCCCAAACGGACACCUUCCUAACAUAGCUAUAGUUUUUUUUGGGUUUUGUUUGUUGGUCUGUCUUUGCCUGGAUUGCUUCUGGAGCCUCCUAAACUGGUCUCUGCGCCUCCAGUUGGUUGCUGCCUCUGCAGGCCAUCCUCCAUAUUCACCACAAUAAGCUUUCUGAAAUGCAGAUAGGAGCCAAAGAGAUCGCAGUUGCCUCCUGUUUGGAGCCCUUAGCCAUGUGGAAACAUGAGAUCACUUUGAAUUAUGUUUUUCUACCAUGAGAAUGUAAACAACUUCUUAAACCAGGAAGGUGUGAACCGGAGGGCUGUGGAGUAGCCGUCUACACCAGAUACGGAACAGAGAGGUGGAGAAAGUUCACUGCAGAGAGGAAUGAAGCAGAAGCAAGGUGGGGUGGGAAUGAGACAGGGGUUGAAGGACAGCCCUAACAGCCAGUACGCCAGUAGCCUCCAUCCUAUCACACUGUUUUAUUCACUUUGUAACACCAAUCACUGUCUACAAAUGUUUGUGUCUCUACACCUCCAAGAAUGAAAGUAAGCCCUGUGAGGGCAGGAAAAUUGUCUUGUUCAUCUCUGAAUCCCAGUGCCUAGAUCAAUGCUUGACAUAUAGAGGGCAGUCCAUAAAUACUGACUAGAUAAAUGAAUUCUAUUUACUUGUUCGUAUUCAAAUUAGAAAUCUGAGAACGUCUGUCCCAUUGUUUCAAAGAUGUCAAUAUCUGCUUUGAGUAAUUACAGAUUUAGCAGAAUUA